CGCAAGGUUGAAACUCAAAGGAAUUGACGGGGGCCCGCACAAGCGGUGGAGCAUGUGGUUUAAUUCGAAGCAACGCGAAGAACCUUACCAGGUCUUGACAUCCUUUGACCACUCUAGAGAUAGAGCUUCCCCUUCGGGGGCAAAGUGACAGGUGGUGCAUGGUUGUCGUCAGCUCGUGUCGUGAGAUGUUGGGUUAAGUCCCGCAACGAGCGCAACCCUUAUUGUUAGUUGCCAUCAUUCAGUUGGGCACUCUAGCAAGACUGCCGGUGACAAACCGGAGGAAGGUGGGGAUGACGUCAAAUCAUCAUGCCCCUUAUGACCUGGGCUACACACGUGCUACAAUGGGAAGUACAACGAGUUGCGAAGUCGCGAGGCUAAGCUAAUCUCUUAAAGCUUCUCUCAGUUCGGAUUGCAGGCUGCAACUCGCCUGCAUGAAGCCGGAAUCGCUAGUAAUCGCGGAUCAGCACGCCGCGGUGAAUACGUUCCCGGGCCUUGUACACACCGCCCGUCACACCACGAGAGUUUGUAACACCCGAAGUCGGUGAGGUAACC
rnacentral:rRNA from 1 species